CUGCAAACGUAACGUAAGGCAUACGCUUAUUAACUACGUUAUCUGUAUUGAUAGCUGUUUGUCUAUUGUGUUUGUAUUUUAUUUUGAUUUGUACAAAAAUCCACAACUAUGAAUUCCAAACUUGUGAUUGCCUUCGCAGUUCUGUGCUUCGCUGCUUACAUCUAUGGCCAGCACGUGCACUGCACCACCGACGCCGACUGCACAGGGGCAUGUGACACAGUGGGGCAACAGGCUGAGUGCUACGAGAAUGAAUGUCAUUGUCACCCGUACGUAAACUGCACAAUCGACGCCCACUGCGAAGAAGUUGUGUGUGACACAAUUGGACACCAGGCUCUGUGCCACGAGAAUGAAUGUCAUUGUCACAUAGAUGCUGAGGAGUGUGAGCAAGAUUGGCAAUGCGUUCAUUGUGGAGCAAAUUCCACGUGCGACGCACACUUCUGUCACGGGAUCGACUGUAUUCACACGUAAACGUUGGAUAAGACCAGGAGGAACAACGCUUUUAUCGAGAUGACGGAAUGGGCUGCCAUUUUCUGAUCUGUUAUUAAUGUUUGUUGAAUAAAAAACCUAAUCCAAAAACUUA